AAAAAAUAAUGUAAUAUUGCUCGAUGUAAUACCUUUGAUGUAAAAAAAAUCCGAUGUAAUCGGGUUUUUCAGAUACACAAUCACACCAAUUCGAUGUUAUAUUACAUCCUUCUGAAAUUACAUAAAAAAAUAAUUCAGUUUUUUCAUUACGUUGGAUAUGUGUAAUAUUUACCUUAACAAAAUGUGAAUAUUACACGCAAACAGCUGCAACCAAGUGAUUGCCACUACAUUGGGUAGAAUCACACGAAAUCGAUGUGACAUCACAUGCUUUUGAAAUGCGAUAUUAAAUCUUGCAACACUGCUCUGAUUUUGUUGUGUUCGGCCUUGCGAGCGGCCAUUUUCAGUUUGCCGCAAACGAUGGAUGCUGUUUUUUGGAAAAUCAUUGACGGCGUUGUUUUAUAUUUCAAUGAAGUAAGAUAUGUGAGAAUCCUGGACCAUUUCUUGUGGCAGUUACUUGUCGAAAGUGCAUCUCGCGGAAAAAAAUUCUCUCCCGCAACUUUCGCGUGUUUCGUGGGACCAUUUCUUGAAAGUUGCUGGGCGUGGAGCAAAGCGCCAACGACGUUGAAAUUAAGAAAGCGUACCGCAAGUUGGUCCUACGAUGGCACCCGGACAAGAACCUGGACAAUCUGGAGGAAGCGGAUCUGCAGUUUUUGCUGGUCCAGGCGACGCGACGUACGAUGUGCUGUCCGAUAUUUAGGAACGGGCCUGGUGCAAUAAUCAUCGGGAGCAGAUUCUGCGCGGAAGACAUACAAAUUAUGAGAACAAUUCAUUGGAUAUGUUCCAGUAUUCAACGACUUCCUGCUACAAGGCUUUCGGGAUGAUUAGGGAGGACUCUACGCCGUGUAUGGAGAAGUGUUCCUUACGAUAGCCUCGGAGGAGAUUGAGUUCGUGGAGAACGAGGAGAAUUUUGAGGAUAUUUCGAAGUUCGGCAAUUCGAAGAACGACUACGAGACGGAAGUUCGACUUUUUAUUACGAGAAGAACAAAAAGGUCCAGCAGAAGGCCAGAAAAGUAUGAAACGAAGACAUUCGUUCGCUGGUGUUCGUGAAAAAACGAGACAAGCGGGUGCAGGCCUAUAAGAAGCUGCUGGACAAACGGGCCAAACAGGACAGGAUUAGGUCGCAGCAGAAUCGGCUGGAACAGAUCAGUCGGAAGCAGAAGGAGAUUGAGGAGCUGCAGAGGAAUUCGUCCAAUGUGUUCAACGAGGCUUAUGACGAGCAGUUGUGAUCGGUACAAAAAACUUGAACGAGCUCUGCGAUUCAUUUCACUGUUGGCUGAAGGAAACUAAUCACUACCUGAAUUUAAUCUCUGUCCACUGCCGAGAACCCGCCUAUCACCUGAUGCGCUCCAGUCGUUAUACUACAUUAUUCAAACGUUUUUAAAGCAAUAAAAAUAGAAUAAAUAAUAAUGAAAACUUA
rnacentral:lncRNA from 1 species